AGACCCGCAAGGGUAUGCUGAGAGAUGGGCUUGCGGCACAUUAGUUAGUUGGUAAGGUAACGGCUUACCAAGACCAUGAUGUGUAGCUGGACUGAGAGGUUGAACGGCCACAUUGGGACUGAGAUACGGCCCAAACUCCUACGGGAGGCAGCAGUAAGGAAUUUUCGGCAAUGGAGGAAACUCUGACCGAGCAACGCCGCGUGAACGAUGAAGUAUUUAGGUAUGUAAAGUUCUUUUAUUAAAGAAGAAAAAAUGAUGGAAAAAUCAUUCUGACGGUAUUUAAUGAAUAAGCCCCGGCUAACUAUGUGCCAGCAGCUGCGGUAAUACAUGGGGGGCAAGCGUUAUCCGGAUUUAUUGGGCGUAAAGGGUGCGUAGGCGGUUUAAUAAGUCUAUGGUCUAAGUUCAACGCUUAACGUUGUGAUGCUAUAGAAACUGUUUGACUAGAGUUGGAUAGAGGCAAGUGGAAUUCCAUGUGUAGCGGUAAAAUGCGUAAAGAUAUGGAGGAACACCAGUAGCGAAGGCGGCUUGCUGGGUCUUAACUGACGCUGAGGCACGAAAGCGUGGGGAGCAAACAGGAUUAGAUACCCUGGUAGUCCACGCCGUAAACGAUGAGUACUAAGUGUUGGGUUAAACCAGUGCUGAAGUUAACGCAUUAAGUACUCCGCCUGAGUAGUACGUACGCAAGUAUGAAACUUAAAGGAAUUGACGGGACUCCGCACAAGCGGUGGAUCAUGUUGUUUAAUUCGAAGAUACACGAAAAACCUUACCAGGUCUUGACAUACUCUGCAAAGCUAUAGAAAUAUAGUGGAGGUUAUCAGGGAUACAGGUGGUGCAUGGUUGUCGUCAGCUCGUGUCGUGAGAUGUUGGGUUAAGUCCCGCAACGAGCGCAACCCUUAUCGCUAGUUACCAUCAUUUAGUUGGGCACUUUAGUGAGACUGCCAAUGAUAAAUUGGAGGAAGGUGGGGAUUACGUCAAAUCAUCAUGCCCCUUAUGACCUGGGCUACAAACGUGAUACAAUGGCUGUUACAAAGAGUAGCUGAAGCGUGAGUUUUUAGCAAAUCUCAAAAAAACAGUCUCAGUUCGGAUUGAAGUCUGCAACUCGACUUCAUGAAGUCGGAAUCGCUAGUAAUCGCGAAUCAGC
rnacentral:sRNA from 1 species